ACGAACGCUGGCGGCGUGCUUAACACAUGCCAGUCGAACGGAAAGGCCCCUUUGGGGGUACUCGAGUGGCGAACGGGUGAGUAACACGUGAGUAACCUGCCCUUGACUUCGGGAUAACUUCAGGAAACUGGGGCUAAUACCGGAUAGGAAUCCUUGCUGCAUGGUGGGGGUUGGAAAGCUUCGGCGGUUUUGGAUGGACUCGCGGCUUAUCAGCUUGUUGGUGGGGUAGGGGCUUACCAAGGCUUUGACGGGUAGCCGGCCUGGGAGGGCGACCGGCCACAUUGGGACUGAGAUACGGCCCAGACUCCUACGGGAGGCAGCAGUGGGGAAUAUUGCACAAUGGGCGGAAGCCUGAUGCAGCAACGCCGCGUGCGGGAUGACGGCCUUCGGGUUGUAAACCGCUUUCAGCAGGGGCGAAGCUUGUGGUGACGGUACCUGCAGAAGAAGCACCGGCUAACUACGUG
rnacentral:rRNA from 1 species